ensembl:misc_RNA Metazoa_SRP Metazoan signal recognition particle RNA
GCUGGGUGUGGUGGCACGUGCCUGUAAUCCCAGCUACUCGGGAGGCUGAGUCAGGAGAAUUGCUUGAACCCAUGAGGCCUAGGUUGCAGUGAGUGGAGAUUGCACCACUGCACUCCAGCCUGGGUGACAGAGCCAGACUCUGUCUCAA